rnacentral:rRNA from 1 species
CCUACGGGUGGCUGCAGUGGGGAAUAUUGGGCAAUGGGCGCACGCCUGACCCCUCAACGCCGCGUGAAGGAAGAAGGCUUUCGGGUUGUAAACUUCUUUUAAGAGGGAAGAGCAGAAGACGGUACCUCUUGAAUAAGCCACGGCUAACUACGUGCCAGCAGCCGCGGUAAUACGUAGGUGGCAAGCGUUGUCCGGAUUUACUGGGUGUAAAGGGCGUGUAGCCGGGCUGACAAGUCAGAUGUUAAAUCCCGUGGCUCAACCACGGACCUGCAUUUGAAACUGUCGGGCUUGAGUCUCGGAGAGGCAGGCGGAAUUACUAGGGUAGCGGUGAAAUGGGUAGAUAUUAGGAGGAACACAAGUGGAGAAGGCGGCCUGCUGGACGACAACUGACGGUGAGGCGCGAAAGCGUGGGGAGAAAACAGGAUUAGAUACCCAGUAGU